rfam:Metarhizium acridum CQMa 102 unplaced genomic scaffold Scf_045, whole genome shotgun sequence.
GGUCUCGUAGAUCAAUGGCUUAGAUCGCGGCUUUCCGGUGGCCGAGGUUCCAGGUUCGAGUCCUGGCGGGAUCG